GCCGGGGUGGCGGAACGGCAGACGCUGCGGACUUAAAAUCCGCUAUCCGCAAGGAUGUGCGGGUUCGAAUCCCGCCCUCGGCACCA
rnacentral:tRNA from 1 species